CGGCGGACGGGUGAGUAAUGCCUAGGAAUCUGCCUGGUAGUGGGGGACAACGUUUCGAAAGGAACGCUAAUACCGCAUACGUCCUACGGGAGAAAGCAGGGGACCUUCGGGCCUUGCGCUAUCAGAUGAGCCUAGGUCGGAUUAGCUAGUUGGUGAGGUAAUGGCUCACCAAGGCGACGAUCCGUAACUGGUCUGAGAGGAUGAUCAGCCACACUGGAACUGAGACACGGUCCAGACUCCUACGGGAGGCAGCAGC
rnacentral:rRNA from 1 species